rnacentral:rRNA from 1 species
ACUGGGCGUAAGCGUGCGCAGGCGGUUAUGUAAGACAGAUGUGAAAUCCCCGGGCUCAACCUGGGAACUGCAUUUGUGACUGCAUGGCUAGAGUACGGUAGAGGGGGAUGGAAUUCCGCGUGUAGCAGUGAAAUGCGUAGAUAUGCGGAGGAACACCGAUGGCGAAGGCAAUCCCCUGGACCUGUACUGACGCUCAUGCACGAAAGCGUGGGGAGCAAACAGGAUUAGAUACCCUGGUAGUCCACGCCCUAAACGAUGUCAACUGGUUGUUGGGAAUUAUUUUUCUCAGUAACGAAGCUAACGCGUGAAGUUGACCGCCUGGGGAGUACGGCCGCAAGGUUG